rnacentral:rRNA from 1 species
UACGGAGGGUGCAAGCGUUGUUCGGAUUUACUGGGCGUAAAGCGCGCGCAGGUGGGUGAACAAGUCGGAAGUGAAAUCUUGAGGCUCAACCUCGAGGCUGCUCCCGAAACUGUUCGCCUAAGGACUGGUAGAGGCUGGUAGAAUUCCCGGUGUAGCGGUGGAAUGCGUAGAGAUCGGGAAGAAUACCUGUGGCGAAGGCGGCCAGCUGGGCCAGAUCCGACACUGAGGCGCGAAAGCGUGGGGAGCAAACAGG